rnacentral:tRNA from 1 species
GGAGGUGUGGCUUGAGUUUUAGGGUGCUUGCCUGGCAAGCAUGAGGCCCUGAGUUCAAUCCCCAGUAUUACUA